rnacentral:rRNA from 1 species
GAGGAGCCCGCGCCCCAUUAGGUAGUUGGCGGGGUAACGGCCCACCAAGCCUACGAUGGGUAGCCGGCCUGAGAGGGUGGCCGGCCACACUGGCACUGAGAUACGGGCCAGACUCCUACGGGAGGCAGCAGUGAGGAAUCUUGGGCAAUGGGCGCAAGCCUGACCCAGCGACGCCGCGUGGGUGAUGAAGGCCUUCGGGUCGUAAAACCCUGUGAGCCGGGAAGAAGCCGCGCCGUGCUAAUAUCACGGCGUGGUGACAGUACCGGCAGAGGAAGCCCCGGCUAACUACGUGCCAGCAGC